AACCAGUCAGCCCUAAAAGAAAUCAGUUCUGAAUAUUCACUGGAAGGACUGAUGUUGAAAUUGAAGCUCCAAUACUUUGGCCACCUGAUGUGAAGAGUCGACUCAUUGGAAAAGACGCUGAUGCUGGGAAAGAUUGAAGGCAGGAGGAGAAAGGGACGGCAGAAGAUGAGAUGGUUGGAUGGCAUCACCGACUCAAUGGACAUGGGUCUGAGCAAGCUCCGGGAGCUGGUGUUGAACAGGGAAGCCUGGCCUGCUGCUGUCCAUGGGGUCGCAAAGAGCUGGACACGACUGAGCUACUGAACUGAACUGAGGUCAGAUAUGACUGUGGUCAUAUCUUUAAGAUCACCACCAGAGGGCGGGGCUUCCUUCAAAUGCGAUUCCUUUCUGUAUUCAGGAGCUGGUUUGACUUGCCUCCUCUGUAGCCACAAGACAGGUGACUGCUGCUGUGCAGAAAGGGGUCCCCAUUUUCUGAGUGAGGAGCUUCUGUAACAUCCAGCUGAGACUACCUUUGAUAGAUUUGAUGUUUCUAGGGAACAAGGACUGUCCCCAGAUGUUUUCUGCCACUCACUCAGUUCUGGUCAUCUUCUUAAUACUUGGAGGGACCAAUGGUGACUCAGUGAACCAGACAGAAGGCCCAGUGACUGUCUCAGAGGGAGCUCUCAUGACCUUGAACUGCGCUUACCAGACCACGUAUUCAGAUCCCUAUCUUUUUUGGUACAUCCAGCAUCUCAACAAAGCUCCUCAACUCCUCCUGAAGGGCUCAACAGCAGACAAGAAGAAAGCAACGAGUUCCAUCAGCCUCACCAUCACAGACUUACAGCUCGAGGACUCAGCGGUGUAUUUCUGUGCUCUGAGAGACCACAGUGAUGCUGGUGCCUGAGGGAGCCCCACAGAAACCUCAGAUGUCAACAUGUGGAGUCCCCCAACUAUGAACACCUUCGUGAGAUUCUCAUAAGGACAGGAACAGGUAGAGGGGUUAGAAGUGAAAACCUCACUGUAAGGAAAAUGCUAUCUCUUUGGCUCAGAGAGCGUAUCUCAAAGUGUUAUUCAUUAAAAAUACUUUUAUCUUCAAUUCUUUAUC